AUCAGGAACUACUUUCCACCUCCAGCAGUGACUGUCACCUGGUUACCUGCUCAUCUGUUGCCAUGGCAAUGGUCAUACCUUCCCAGCAUACCUUUGGUGCAGCUCCCACCUUCACUUGGGAGCAGUUAUUGUCACAUUUCAAAUGAAAGGCAGACCUUUCCUGCCCCCUUCCUCUUUUUCUUUCUUUUCUCCCUCCCUCCCCCCGCCCCGCCCCCUCACCUUGUCUCCGCCAUCCCAAGAAAGCUCCUCGCCAUCCCAAGAAAGCUCCUCCACGUGGAACCGUGUUGGCCUGGUGCGGUUUGUCCGGACUGAGCGUGAUUUCCAUCCCAACACUGCCUGAGUUCUGAUUCCCUCACAGGGGCACGCUGCUUUCACCCAAACCCCCCCCCCUCUGCCCCCUUUCUCCUCACACUGGGUCUUCACAUUUGCUCUGCUUUAUCUUUUCAGUUUGGUCAUGUGUUUGGGCAACUUCUCCCACGCGUACUUGUUCAAAACUCUCUUCCUCUUAGUCUCCUUUUUGUCCCUUGGUUUCCCGAGAAGGUAAGACAGGGAAGGCGGGAGGGCAGAGCACUGGGGCUCUGUCUGCAGUGACUCUGGAGCUGUGUCAGGAGUCAGUCCUCCAGUUUGGAUAGCACGCACAGUUCCUGUAGGGAGGCAGAACCUUCGCAUUGUUGACCAAAUUUAGCUUGUUGCCCUGGAGCCUCCACUUUGGCCAAAAUCAGCCAAGUUAUUCACUUCCCCCAUUUUUACCCUUUUCCCCCACAAUGGCUAUUUCUGAUUUCUUUUUAGACGAAGCGGGGAAUGCUAAAGAAACAAAAACCACCGGAAUGAACAAAACCCCUGCAUUUAAAGCUGGGGAGAGAUCAGACUCUGUGGGACUCCAAGCUACAGAAAAUGUUCCUAGGAACAAGAAAGGCAGUGCAGAAGGCACACAUCACAUAUGUCACCGGCCCGACUUCUGCAUCCCAGCCUCUCUAUUCUUCCACCAAGUGCGUCUGCGUACAACUGUCCUUUAGAAUGCCACAGCGGCUGCCUUUAGCCACAGGCACGGUUGGCUUCACUUUGUAUCCACUCAAGUGCACACACCAUGAGUCAUGUGAGGUUCAAAAGCCCAGCAGGACCAAGUGACCAUUUGACCCUCAAAGGGGUCAUGACCUACAGGCUGAGAACUGGAGAAUUGGAGCAGCCUUUGGGAAAGAAAUGAAACAGACUGGAAAGGAAAGAAAGGCACCAUCAGAGGGCAUCACGCUCACCACGCAGGUGCUCUAGCCUUGCUGGAGAUGACAUCUGGCAGAAAGAACUUCAAAGAGGAAAGGCUUAUUUUGGCUCAUGGUUUCAGUUGUGGCAGAGAACCUAUUCGUGUUAAGACAAACCAGGAUCAGAAAGCGAGAGAAAUCCGGACCAAGUAUAACCUUCGGUGACCCACUUCCACCAGCUAGACCCUACCUCCAAAAGCUUCCAGAACCUCCCUGAAUAGUACCACCAGCAAUCAUUUCAGAUUUCUUCCCUCCCUCCUUCCCUCCCUCCUUCCCUCCCUCCCUCCCUCCCUCCCUCCAUCCCUUCCCCCUCCCUCACUUCCUACAGUGCUAGAGAUGGAGCCCAUGUAUACUAGAUUGGAGCUCUACCACUGAGCUACACUCUCAGCCCCAAACUUCCAUUUCUGUACAGCGAACCUGCUUCAUGUCUAUCUCCACAGAGGUUUGAUAGGAGAACCAUGGGCAUGCUGAGUAAUGGCACAAAAAUGUCUUUUUGACUACUUGCCAAUAAAAGGAGUUUAAAGGCUA